UAGGGAAUAUUGCGCAAUGGGGGAAACCCUGACGCAGCAACGCCGCGUGAGUGAGGAAGGUCUUCGGAUUGUAAAACUCUUUUAUUAGGGAAAAAUGUCUAGGUGGCUAAUAUCCACUUAGAGUGAUGGUACCUAAGGAAUAAGCACCGGCUAACUUCGUGCCAGCAGCCGCGGUAAUACGAAGGGUGCAAGCGUUGUUCGGAAUCAUUGGGCGUAAAGCGCGCGCAGGCGGGUCAGUAAGUCAGGUGUGAAAUCUCGGAGCUCAACUCCGAAACUGCGCCUGAAACUAUUGGUCUAGAGUAUCGGAGGGGACAGGGGAAUUUCACGUGUAGGGGUAAAAUCCGUAGAGAUGUGAAGGAACACCGGAGGCGAAGGCGCCUGUCUGGACGAUUACUGACGCUGAGGCGCGAAAGCGUGGGGAGCAAACAG
rnacentral:rRNA from 1 species